rnacentral:rRNA from 1 species
AGGGGUAGUGGAGUCAAUCUUGAAAUACCACCCUUGUUUAAUUAGGUUUCUAACUUAUAGAAAUAUGAGGAGAGUGCCAGGUGGGUAGUUUGACUGGGGCGGUCGCCUCCUAAAGAGUAACGGAGGUGCGCAAAGGUUACCUUAGAGUGGUUGGAAAUCACUCUGUAAGUGUAAAGGCAUAAGGUAGCUUAACUGUAAGACUGACAAGUCGAACAGAUACGAAAGUAGGUCUUAGUGAUCUGGCGGUGGCAAGUGGAAGCGCCGUCACUUAACGAAUAAAAGGUACUCCGGGGAUAACAGGCUUAUCCUUCCCAAGAGUUCACAUCGACGGAAGGGUUUGGCACCUCGAUGUCGGCUCAUCGCAUCCUAGGGCUGGAGCAGGUCCUAAGGGUAUGGCUGUUCGCCAUUUAAAGCGGUACGCGAGCUGGGUUCAGAACGUCGUGAGACAGUUUGGUCCCUAUCUGCCACAAGCGUUGGAUAUUUGAGAGGAGCUAUCUUUAGUACGAGAGGACCGAGAUGGACGAACCUCUAGUGUACCAGUUAUCCUGCCAAGGGUAAGUGCUGGGUAGCUACGUUCGGAAAGGAUAACCGCUGAAAGCAUCUAAGUGGGAAGCCUUCCUCAAGAUGAGAUAUCCUUUAAGGGUCCUGGAAGAAUACCAGGU